rnacentral:rRNA from 1 species
UUGAACUGAAGAGUUUGAUCCUGGCUCAGAUUGAACGCUGGCGGCAUGCCUUACACAUGCAAGUCGAACGGCAGCACGGGCUUCGGCCUGGUGGCGAGUGGCGAACGGGUGAGUAAUACAUCGGAACGUGCCCUGUAGUGGGGGAUAACUAGUCGAAAGAUUAGCUAAUACCGCAUACGACCUGAGGGUGAAAGCGGGGGACCGCAAGGCCUCGCGCUACAGGAGCGGCCGAUGUCUGAUUAGCUAGUUGGUGGGGUAAA